ensembl:lncRNA
UGCUGCUGCUGCUGCUGCUGGGGCUUGGAUGCCUGCUGAUGCUGCUGCUGCUGGGCUUGUAGCUAGGAUGCUGCUGCUGCUGCUGCUUGUAGCUGGAUGCUGCUGCUGCUGGGGCUGCUAGCUUGUAGCUGCUGUUGCUGCUGCUGCUGGGGCUUGUAGCUGGGAUGUUGCUGCUGCUGCUGGGGCUUGUCGCUAGGAUGCUGCUGCUGCUGCUGCUGGGGCUGUUGCUGGUCGUAGCUAGGCUCCUGUGGCUUAUAACUAGAAGGCUCCUGGGGCUUGUAGCUAGAAGGCUGCUGCUGCUGCUGCUGGGGCUUGUAGCUAGGAUGUUCCUGCUGCUGGGGCUUGUAGCUAGGAUGUUGCUGCUGCUGCUGGGGCUUGUAGCUAGGAUGAUGCUGCUGCUGCUGCUGGGGCUUGUAGCUAGGAUGUUGCUGCUGCUGCUGCUGCUGGGGCUUGUCGCUGCUGCUGCUUGCUGCUGCUGCUGCUGCUGGGGCUUGUAGCUAGGAUGCUGCUGCUGGGGCUUGUAGCUAGGAUGUUGCUGCUGCUGCUGGGGGGCUUGUAGCUAGGAUGUUGCUGCUGCUGCUGCUGGGGCUUGCUGCUGGGGCUUGUUGCUGUUGCUGCUGCUGGGGCUUGUAGCUAGGAUGUUGCUGCUGCUGCUGCUGGGGCUUGUAGCUAGGAUGUUGCUGCUGCUGCUGGGGGCUUGUAGCUGGGAUGUUGCUGCUGCUGCUGGGGCUGGGGCUUGUAGCUAGGAUGUUGCUGCUGCUGCUGGGGCUUGUAGCUAGGAUGUUGCUGCUGCUGCUGCUGGGGCUUUGUAGCUAGGAUGCUGCUGCUGCUGCUGGGGCUUGUAGCUAGGAUGAUGCUGCUGCUGCUGCUGGGGCUUGUAGCUAGGAUGCUGCUGCUGCUGCUGCGGCUUGUAGCUAGGAUGCUUCUGCUGGGGCUUGUAGCUAGGAUGCUGCUGCUGGGGGCUUGUAGCUAGGAUGUUGCUGCUGCUGCUUGGGCUUGUAGCUGCUGAUGCUGCUGCUGCUGCUUGUCGCUAGGAUGCUGCUGCUGCUGGGGCUUGUAGCUAGGAUGCUGCUGCUGCUGGGGCUGAUCGCCAGGAUGCUGCUGCUGCUGGGGCUUGUAGCUAGGAUGCUGCUGCUGGCUGGGGCUUGUAGCUAGGAGGUUGCUGCUGGGUUGUAGCUAGGAGGCUGCUGCAGCCCAUACGUAGGCAUCUCCGGCUCAGCAUAUCCGAUCCUGUAAGC